rnacentral:miRNA from 1 species
AUGUACCUCAUCAAUCGGAGGGGUUUCCUUCCGGUUGAUGAGGUACAUGUACCUUGUUGACCGGAAGGGAAACCCUUCCAAUCAGCGAGGCACAUCAACCUCUUUGACCGGAAGGGGUUCCUUCCGGUCAACGAGGUACAUGUACCUCAUCAACCGGAAGGAAACCCUUCUGAUUGAUGAGGUACAU